AUCGCUUCUCGGCCUUUUGGCUAAGAUCAAGUGUAGAAGAUUCAAAACAGAUGAAACGGGCUUACAAGCUCUUAAAAAUAAGAUAGUGAAAUUAUGUUUCUAUUGGUAGUACCUGCUUCUUUCAGGCCUGCAUAACCUAACUUUUCAUGCAGAAACUAU
rnacentral:snRNA from 1 species